ACAGGUAGUCCAGGACCCUAGGCUGGUGGAGAAAACAGGUUGCUGCUGCAGAUUCAUUGUCUGGGGGUUGGGAUAUGCCAGGAGACUUGUGGACACUUUUGUGGCUUUUUGGCAAGAAAUACUAGGAUCCACAACGCUGUAGUGAAAUUCCCAAGUGUGGUGACUAGUCCUGGGAGGGGUGUGGACACGUCAAUGUCUAGUGGGUAUGUUUGUGAGUGGAUCAGAAUCCUGUGGUGAUAGCUGUGGAACAAGGGGGUCUGUCAUCAGAGUUCCUUUCCUCUAAGUUUUCAUCCUCUCUUACCCUAGAAGAUCUGGAAUCACACGACAAUGAAAGGCUUUGUUCUCCUUUAGACGAGAACAGAGCCUCCCACUCCAAGACACCAAGAGUUCCAUUCCAGGCCAGGUCUCCAUGAUAUCUUUCUUCUACCACCAAAACUGCAGAGUUUGCUGAAUACCAAGCAAUUCUCUAGCACCAACUCAAUGUCUAACAUUCGAAUUCUGACACCAUGCAGAGUCA
rnacentral:lncRNA from 10 species